AAACAGGUUUUUCUCAAAACCAAAGAGUAAAUUCAAUGAACCAUACU
rfam:Monodelphis domestica cont3.070596, whole genome shotgun sequence.